rnacentral:rRNA from 1 species
CCCGCACAAGCGGAGGAACAUGUGGUUUAAUUCGAUGAUACGCGAGGAACCUUACCUGGGCUUAAAUGGGGAGUGACAGCUGUCGAAAGAUGGUUUUCUUCGGACACUCUUCAAGGUGCUGCAUGGUUGUCGUCAGCUCAUGCCGUGAGGUGUCGGGUUAAGUCCCAUAACGAGCGCAACCCUUACCGUUAGUUACCAUCAGGUUAAGCUGGGGACUCUAGCGGGACUGCCACCGUAAGGUGAGAGGAAGGUGGGGAUGACGUCAAAUCAGCACGGCCCUUAUGUCCAGGGCUACACACGUGUUACAAUGGCCAGUACAAAGGGCAGCUACCGGGUGACCGGAUGCUAAUCUCUAAAGCUGGUCUCAGUUCGGAUCGAAGUCUGCAACCCGACUUCGUGAAGCUGGACUCGCUAGUAAUCGCGCAUCAGCCAUGGCGCGGUGAAUACGUUCCCGGGCCUC